GACGAACGCUGGCGGCGCGCCUAACACAUGCAAGUCGAACGAGCGAGAGGAGGUUUACUUUCUCAAGCGAGUGGCGAACGGGUGAGUAACGCGUGAGGAACCUGCCUCAAAGAGGGAGACAACAGUUGGAAACGACUGCUAAUACCGCAUAAGCCCACGACCCGGCAUCGGGUAGAGGGAAAAGGAGCAAUCCGCUUUGAGAUGGCCUCGCGUCCGAUUAGCUAGUUGGUGAGGUAAUGGCCCACCAAGGCGACGAUCGGUAGCCGGACUGAGAGGUUGAACGGCCACAUUGGGACUGAGACACGGCCCAGACUCCUACGGGAGGCAGCAGUGGGGAAUAUUGCACAAUGGGGGAAACCCUGAUGCAGCGACGCCGCGUGGAGGAAGAAGGUCUUCGGAUUGUAAACUCCUGUUGUUGAGGAAGAUAAUGACGGUACUCAACAAGGAAGUGACGGCUAACUACGUGCCAGCAGCCGCGGUAAAACGUAGGUCACAAGCGUUGUCCGGAAUUACUGGGUGUAAAGGGAGCGCAGGCGGGAAGACAAGUUGGAAGUGAAAUCCAUGGGCUCAACCCAUGAACUGCUUUCGAAACUGUUUUUCUUGAGUAGUGCAGAGGUAGGCGGAAUUCCCGGUGUAGCGGUGGAAUGCGUAGAUAUCGGGAGGAACGCCAGUGGCGAAGGCGGCCUACUGGGCACCAACUGACGCUGAGGCUCGAAAGUGUGGGUAGCAAACAGGAUUAGAUACCCUGGUAGUCCACACUGUAAACGAUGAUUACUAGGUGUUGGAGGAUUGACCCCUUCAGUGCCGCAGUUAACACAAUAAGUAAUCCACCUGGGGAGUACGACCGCAAGGUUGAAACUCAAAGGAAUUGACGGGGGCCCGCACAAGCAGUGGAGUAUGUGGUUUAAUUCGACGCAACGCGAAGAACCUUACCAAGUCUUGACAUCCUGCGACGGACAUAGAAAUAUGUUUUCCUUCGGGACGCAGAGACAGGUGGUGCAUGGUUGUCGUCAGCUCGUGUCGUGAGAUGUUGGGUUAAGUCCCGCAACGAGCGCAACCCUUAUGGUCAGUUACUACGCAAGAGGACUCUGGCCAGACUGCCGUUGACAAAACGGAGGAAGGUGGGGAUGACGUCAAAUCAUCAUGCCCUUUAUGACUUGGGCUACACACGUACUACAAUGGCGUUAAACAAAGAGAAGCAAGACCGCGAGGUGGAGCAAAACUCAGAAACAACGUCCCAGUUCGGACUGCAGGCUGCAACUCGCCUGCACGAAGUCGGAAUUGCUAGUAAUCGCAGAUCAGCAUGCUGCGGUGAAUACGUUCCCGGGCCUU
rnacentral:rRNA from 1 species